rnacentral:rRNA from 1 species
GACGAACGCUGGCGGCGUGCUUAACACAUGCAAGUCGAGCGGGUAAGGCCCUUUCGGGGGUACACGAGCGGCGAACGGGUGAGUAACACGUGGGUGACCUGCCUUUAGCUCUGGGAUAAGCCUGGGAAACCGGGUACUAAUACCGGAUAUGACUCCGCGGCGCAUGUUGUGGGGUGGAAAGCCUUGUGCGGCUGGAGAUGGGCCCGCGGCCUAUCAGGCUUGUUGGUGGGGUGAUGGCCUACCAAGGCGACGACGGGUAGCCGGCCUGAGAGGGCGACCGG